GACGAACGCUGGCGGCGUGCCUAAUACAUGCAAGUAGAACGCUGAAGAGAGGAGCUUGCUCUUCUUGGAUGAGUUGCGAACGGGUGAGUAACGCGUAGGUAACCUGCCUGGUAGCGGGGGAUAACUAUUGGAAACGAUAGCUAAUACCGCAUAAAAUUGAUUAUUGCAUGAUAAUUAAUUGAAAGAUGCAACUGCAUCACUACCAGAUGGACCUGCGUUGUAUUAGCUAGUUGGUGAGGUAACGGCUCACCAAGGCGACGAUACAUAGCCGACCUGAGAGGGUGAUCGGCCACACUGGGACUGAGACACGGCCCAGACUCCUACGGGAGGCAGCAGGAGGGAAUCUUCGGCAAUGGGGGGAACCCUGACCGAGCAACGCCGCGUGAGUGAAGAAGGUUUUCGGAUCGUAAAGCUCUGUUGUAAGAGAAGAACGGGUGUGAGAGUGGAAAGUUCACACUGUGACGGUACCUUACCAGAAAGGGACGGCUAACUACGUG
rnacentral:rRNA from 1 species